rnacentral:rRNA from 1 species
AGAGUUUGAUCCUGGCUCAGAUUGAACGCUGGCGGCAUGCUUUACACAUGCAAGUCGAACGGCAGCACAGGGAGCUUGCUCCCGGGUGGCGAGUGGCGCACGGGUGAGUAAUACAUCGGAACGUGUCCUGUUGUGGGGGAUAACUGCUCGAAAGGGUGGCUAAUACCGCAUGACACCUGAGGGUGAAGCGGGGAUCGCAAGACCUCGCGCAAUUGGAGCGGCCGAUGCCCGAUUAGGCUAGUUGGUGAGGUAAAGGCUCACCAAGGCGACGAUCGGUAGCUGGUCUGGAGACGGACGACCAGCCACACGUGGGACUGAGACACGGCCCAGACUCCGACGGGAGCA